rnacentral:rRNA from 1 species
UACGGAGGGAGCUAGCGUUGUUCGGAAUUACUGGGCGUAAAGCGCGUGUAGGCGGCUCUGCAAGUCGGGUGUGAAAUCCCAUGGCUCAACCAUGGAAGUGCACUCGAAACUGCAGGGCUAGAGUCCUGGAGAGGAAGGUGGAAUGCUUGGUGUAGAGGUGAAAUUCGUAGAUAUCAAGCGGAACACCGGUGGCGAAGGCGGCGAGCUGGUCUGAUACUGACGCUGAGGCGCGACAGCGUGGGGAGCAAACAGG